UCUCAUUCUCCCUUGAGGCUUGGGUGGCUCUCUUACUUGCUGAAUUCUGUUUCCAUAAAGCUGGCUGCCAUGUUGGAAAGUCCCAUGUAACAAGGGAAGCCAGGAAAGACCUUAGUUAUCUGAGAUGCCUUCUCUUAUAUGGGUAAGUUAUAUAUUUGACUUCUAGAAAGAGUUCCUAAAGAGAUUUAUCACUCCCUUGUCCUUUUUCCCCUCUUGCUGGCUGGAAUGUGAUGAGAUCACUGGAUCUGGAGCUGCCAUUUUGGAUCAGGAAGUAGAAGCUGGGUGUGGAGAAUGAUGAAGCCAGAAAAUAAAAGAAAUCCAAUCCCUCAAAGUGAUCAUGGGGCCCCCCACAGACUGUCUAGGUUCACGGGAGAGAGAAAUAAAUGUCUAACUUGC
rnacentral:lncRNA from 1 species